GACGAACGCUGGCGGCGUGCUUAACACAUGCAAGUCGAACGGUGAAGCCCUUCGGGGUGGCUCAGUGGCGAACGGGUGAGUAACACGUGAGCAACCUGCCCCUGGCUCUGGGACAACCACUGGAAACGGUGGCUAAUACCGGAUAUGACCCGCCUCGGCAUCGAGUGUGGGUGGAAAGUUUUUCGGCUGGGGAUGGGCUCGCGGCCUAUCAGCUUGUUGGUGAGGUGAAGGCUCACCAAGGCGACGACGGGUAGCCGGCCUGAGAGGGCGACCGGCCACACUGGGACUGAGACACGGCCCAGACUCCUACGGGAGGCAGCAGUGGGGAAUAUUGCACAAUGGGCGAAAGCCUGAUGCAGCGACGCCGCGUGAGGGAUGACGGCCUUCGGGUUGUAAACCUCUUUCAGCUCCGAAGAAGCGAAAGUGACGGUAGGAGCAGAAGAAGCACCGGCUAACUACGUG
rnacentral:rRNA from 1 species